GUUGAACGCUGGCGGCAUGCUUUACACAUGCAAGUCGAACGGUAACAGGUCUUCGGAUGCUGACGAGUGGCGAACGGGUGAGUAACACAUCGGAACGUGCCUAGUAGUGGGGGAUAACUACUCGAAAGAGUAGCUAAUACCGCAUGAGAUCUAAGGAUGAAAGCAGGGGACCUUCGGGCCUUGCGCUACUAGAGCGGCUG
rnacentral:rRNA from 1 species